rnacentral:rRNA from 1 species
GAUGAACGCUGGCGGCGUGCUUAACACAUGCAAGUCGAACGGAAAGGCCCAAGCUUGCUUGGGUACUCGAGUGGCGAACGGGUGAGUAACACGUGGGUGAUCUGCCCUGCACUUCGGGAUAAGCCUGGGAAACUGGGUCUAAUACCGGAUAGGACCACAUUUUGGAUGGUGUGGUGGAAAGUUUUUCGGUGUGGGAUGAGCUCGCGGCCUAUCAGCUUGUUGGUGGGGUAAUGGCCUACCAAGGCGUCGACGGGUAGCCGGCCUGAGAGGGUGUACGGCCAAAUUGGGAGUGGAAUACGGCCAGGACACCUCCGGGAGGGAGGAGUGGGGAUAUUUGCACGAUGGGCGGAAGCCUGAGGCGGCGCAGCCGGGGGGGGGAUGCGGGCCUUCGGGUUGUAAACCCCUUUCGCUGGGGGAGAAGGUUUUUUGUGACGGUACGGGGAGAGAAAACCCCGCCUAACCACGU